ensembl:snoRNA SNORA63 Small nucleolar RNA SNORA63
AGGCAGGAACUAAUUACAGUGUAGCUGUGAAGUGCUGCAUUGUCUUUGCCCCCUGCUCAGAAUAAAACUGUUUCCAUUCUGGCCCUGUGGGCCGUGGUGCUGCAGCCACCAGGGAUGCAUGGUCUCACACAU